rnacentral:tRNA from 1 species
GCCUCGAUAACUCAGCCUGGUGGAGUGCCUCACUUGUAAUGAGGAUGUCGGGGGUUCAAAUCCCUCUCGAGGCU